GACGAACGCUGGCGGCGUGCUUAACACAUGCAAGUCGAACGGAGUGGCGAACGGGUGAGUAACACGUGGGUGACCUGUCCUGCACUUCGGGAUAAGCCUGGGAAACUGGGUCUAAUACCGGAUAGUGUGGGAUGGGCCCGCGGCCUAUCAGCUUGUUGGUGGGGUAAUGGCCUACCAAGGCGGCGACGGGUAGCCGGCCUGGGAGGGUGGACGGGCACAAUGGGCCUAAGAGAGGGACCAGACUGCUACGUGAGGCAGGAGUGGGGAGUAUUGCGCAAUGAGCGGGAGACUGAUGCAGCGACGCCGGGUGGGUGAUGACGGCCUUCGGGUGGUGAACUCCUUUCACCAUCGACGCGGUAUCUAACCAGAAAGCAACGGCUAACUACGUGCCAGCAGCCGCGGUAAUUC
rnacentral:rRNA from 1 species